AUGUUGAUUUCUAUGUCAAAGUUACUGGAAUAUUGAUUUGUUUGAGUUACGAGAAUGUUGAUUUCUAUGUCAAAGCUUCUUAAACAAUUUUUUUGAGUUACGAGAAUGUUUUUUAUGUCUAUUUUUUCCUGAUGUUUUCUCAUGUUCUUGAUGUGUAGCGUCUCAUACUCACCUAUGCUUUUUCUUAAUUACGUGAGUUUUGAUUUUUUUGUUCAACGUUUACAAACAAGGUGAUAUUUUUUAGCCAUUUCUGUUGAAUGAAGCUUUUUUUUUAUUUCAAGAUAACAUUUUUUCUAUGCAUGCAUAAUCUUGAAGUAUUUGCAAAUCUGUAAAGAUUUUCCAAUUUUCUUGAGCUUAUCCUUUUUAGGUGUCAUUGGAGAUGGACAAGAUAUUCUUGUGAGGGUACAUUCAGAGUGUCUCACAGGAGACAUAUUUGGAUCUGCCAUAUGUGAUUGUGGGAAUCAACUUGCACUUGCAAUGCAAAAGAUUGAGGCAAGUAUGGAAUUGGUGC